GAUGAACGCUGACAGAAUGCUUAACACAUGCAAGUCUUUGGCGAAGCUGUGCUUGCACAGCCUAGCCAAGGCGGACGGGUGAGUAACGCGUAAGGAACUUGCCCUGCAGUCAGGGAUAACAGACGGAAACGACUGAUAAGACCUGGUAAAGUCAGGCGGACUCAUGUCCAGCCUGAUGAAAAGUGAUGCUGCAGGAGAGCCUUGCGUCCUAUUAGCUUGUUGGUGGGGUAACGGCCCACCAAGGCGAUGAUAGGUAGCCGGCCUGAGAGGGUGGACGGCCACAAGGGGACUGAGAUACGGCACUUACUCCUACGGGAGGCAGCAGUGGGGAAUAUUGGACAAUGGGGGCAACCCUGAUCAGCAAUUCUGUGUGCACGAUGAAGGUUUUCGGAUUGUAAAGUGCUUUCAGCAGGGAAGAAAAAAAUGACGGUACCUGCAGAAGAAGCGACGGCAAAAUACGU
rnacentral:rRNA from 1 species